rnacentral:lncRNA from 1 species
CCCAAAAGCACCGUUUGUUAACUUAAUUAUGAAGAAUAUAUAAUCUAAUGGCAAUGAAACCACCACGCUUAGUCUACCCAAUCAUAGUAUCUCGACGGGAUAGGCCAAUAAAAGAAACAAAACAGAGGAAUUAAGCAUCACAUCAUCAAUGUAGUUUAUCAUUGAGCAGUCUAUAUGCAGAUACUUCCAUGUCCAUCUUAAA